CUCCAGCAUUUUGUGUCUUCCUUUGGCGCAACCCAACAUCUGCAGUUCCUCCCUGCUCAUUCCUACGCCACGACCAUUUUUGAAGGCGUCCUUCGCUGGCUGGCUCUGCGAUAUCCAAGGGGAAAGGAGGAAAGGUGCUGAAAUCUUCCUCUGGGUGGAAGUUGCCUCCCCAUGCAUGGUGCUCAGGAUCCUAGAUGACUGAAUCUCCCCAGACAUUCGCUGCAAGCCUCCAAGCCCCCUCCAGCAAUACAACCAAGUUGACACAACCCUCGACAGCUGCCGACCGGCGAAUCCAUUCAGAACAUUCAGGAUUCUGGCCAGUCUCAAGUUUUAAACCUCACUACUGAAACGAGAAAUGAUUACAGAUUCACUUCUGCCGCGGAGUUGGGUCCUCCCGUUGAACCAGAAGUUGAAAUAUUUUUUCUAGCGCGAACAGAGAAAUGUUUGUAAAUCAAGCAAUAUAUUUUCUAAAAGUACCUAUUUUCCUGACCAGAGAUUGUAUAAUUAAUCAAGAAAAGAGUUUUACUUGUUGUGCAAAAUGGAGCUGACAAUCUUGUACUGUGUAUUAAGUAGAAUAUGAAUUUCUGAUAUAUAUAUAUAUAUAGAGAGAGAGAGAUACUGUCCAUUAAGGGGCAAGUCUCAGCUUUACAGACAUAAUGAUAGAUAGCCAGCUGAAUUUGUGUCUGUUGUCCUGAGUUUCUAAGCUUUCCAAUGGAACCAUGUACUAAUGAACAGAGGCCAUACAUUCCUUUGAACAAGUCAAAUGUUUAUUUUGCUGCUCUGUAUGCAAUUAUCAAUUACUAUUUGCCAUGUAACCUUGAAUAUGUACCAAUCACAGAUAUUAAACAGUUAACUGAA